rnacentral:rRNA from 1 species
AUUGAACGCUGGCGGCAGGCCUAACACAUGCAAGUCGAGCGAGCGGCGGACGGGUGAGUAAUGUAUGGGGACUGCCCGUUAGAGGGGGAUAACUACUGGAAACGGUAGCUAAUACCGCAUACUAUCGGAUAACCCAUAUGGGAUUAGACAGUGGGGGAGGUAAUGGCUAACCCAGGCGACGAUCCCUAGCUGGUCUGAGAGGAUGAUCAGCCACACUGGAACUGGGACACGGCCCCGACUCCUACGGCGGCAGCAGUGGGGAAUAUUGCACAAUGGGCGCAAGCCUGAUGCAGCCAUGCCGCGUGUAUGAAGAAGGCCCUAGGGUUGUAAAGUACUUUCAGUCGGGAGGCGUUACCGACAGAAGAAGCACCGGCUAACUCCGUGCCAGCAGCCGCGGUAAUAC